rnacentral:rRNA from 1 species
CCUACGGGUGGCAGCAGUGAGGAAUAUUGGUCAAUGGGCGAGAGUCUGAACCAGCCAAGUAGCGUGAAGGAUGACUGCCCUAUGGGUUGUAAACUUCUUUUAUAAAGGAAUAAAACGAGGCACGUGUGCCUUUUUGCAUGUACUUUAUGAAUAAGGAUCGGCUAAUUCCGUGCCAGCAGCCGCGGUAAUACGGAGGAUCCGAGCGUUAUCCGGAUUUAUUGGGUUUAAAGGGAGCGUAGAUGGGUUGUUAAGUCAGUUGUGAAAGGUUGCGGCUCAACCGGAAAAUUGCAAUUGAUACUGGCAGUCUUGAGUACAGUUGAGGUAGGCGGAAUUCGUGGUGUAGCGGUGAAAUGCUUAGAUAUCACGAAGAACCCCGAUUGCGAAGGCAGCUUACUAAACUGUGACUGACAUUGAUGCUCGAAAGUGUGGGUAUCAAACAGGAUUAGAUACCCCUGUAGUC